UACGGAGGGUGCAAGCGUUAUCCGGAUUUACUGGGUUUAAAGGGUGCGUAGGCGGAUCUUUAAGUCAGUGGUGAAAUCUCUCGGCUCAACCGAGAAACUGCCAUUGAUACUAUUGAUCUUGAAUACAGUUGAGGUGGGCGGAAUGUGUCGUGUAGUGGUGAAAUGCUUAGAUAUGACACAGAACACCGAUUGCGAAGGCAGCUCGCUAAACUGUGAUUGACGCUGAGGCACGAAAGCGUGGGGAUCAAACAGG
rnacentral:rRNA from 1 species